rnacentral:tRNA from 1 species
GGGGUGGUGGCGAAAUGGCAGACGCAGCGGACUUAAAAUCCGCCGGUCGCGAGACCGUGUGGGUUCGACUCCCACCCGCCCUACCA